UACGUAGGGGGGCAAGCGUUGUCCGGAUUUAUUGGGCGUAAAGAGCGUGUAGGCGGCCAUACAGGUCAGCUGUGAAAACUCGAGGCUCAACCUCGAGACGUCGGUUGAAACCGUAUGGCUAGAGUCCGGAAGAGGAGAGUGGAAUUCCCGGUGUAGCGGUGAAAUGCGCAGAUAUCGGGGAAGAACACCCGUGGCGAAGGCGGCUCUCUGGGACGGUACUGACGCUGAGAC
rnacentral:rRNA from 1 species